CUUCAGUCUAUUUCGAGACCUCUGAACCUUCUUGACACCAUCAGGCUCUCUCUUGCAGUCCAGUCUAUGGCUUCUCAGCCUUCAGGAUCAUCUCGCCCACCUACUCGUGCCAGCACCUUCACUCGUGGCAGAGGCAGACGGGGUAGAGGACGAGUCUUUGGUCGUAAUCCAUCAUCUCCCCACCCCAUCUCUGAUACAUCUGAUUCUGAUCCAUCGAGUCAUGAGCUCUACUAGAUCCUUGUUGUUAGUCUUGACUUUUGUUUCUUUCUAGGAUCUAUCUUUUGGGCCAUGUAAUGAUAUUAACUGGUUGACUUUUAUAUUAUGGAAUAUGUAUUGAAACAACUAUGGUAUCAAUCACCUUUUGAUUAUAUAUCUACUCUUUGACUUUUAAUGUAUGUUGCUAUUUCAUAUCUAUGGUACUCAAUGGCAUAUUUUAUUUUAUGAUUGUUGUAUUCAGGAGGAGUAAACAUUAAUGUUAGUAAAAUUAAUGAUUAGUACAAGAAGUUCAAGAAACAAAAAGAGAAAAUAUAUUCAAAAGAAAAGGGGGAGUUAACAAUGUUUGAUGAUGUCAAAAAGGGGGAGAAAUUAAAGAAAAGUAUCAAAAGCAAGAU
rnacentral:lncRNA from 1 species